CAAUAACGUAUAUUAAAGUUGUUGCAGUUAAAAAGCUCGUAGUCGGAUUUUGGCUGAGAACGAUCGGUCCGCCGUUAGGUGUGCACUGAUUGGUCUCAGCUUCCUGGUGAGGAGGUGUGCUUCACGGCCACUUAGUCACCGUGGUUACUUUGAAAAAAUUAGAGUGUUCAAAGCGGGCUUACGCUUGAAUAUAUUAGCAUGGAAUAACACCAUAGGACUCCUGUCCUAUUUCGUUGGUCUCGGGACGGGAGUAAUGAUUAAGAGGAACAGUUGGGGGCAUUCGUAUUUCAUUGUCAGAGGUGAAAUUCUUGGACUUAUGAAAGACGAACUUCUGCGAAAGCAUUUGCCAAGGAUGUUUUCAUUGA
rnacentral:rRNA from 1 species